rnacentral:rRNA from 1 species
UACGUAGGGUGCAAGCGUUGUCCGGAAUUAUUGGGCGUAAAGAGCUCGUAGGCGGUUUGUUGCGUCGGCUGUGAAAUCCCGAGGCUCAACCUCGGGUCUGCAGUCGAUACGAGCAAACUAGAGUGUUGCAGGGGAGAUCGGAAUUCCUGGUGUAGCGGUGAAAUGCGCAGAUAUCAGGAGGAACACCGGUGGCGAAGGCGGAUCUCUGGGCCGUAACUGACGCUGAGGAGCGAAAGCAUGGGGAGCGAACAGG